GACGAACGCUGGCGGCGUGCUUAACACAUGCAAGUCGAGCGGUAAGGCCCUUUCGGGGGUACACGAGCGGCGAACGGGUGAGUAACACGUGGGUGACCUGCCCUCAGCUCUGGGAUAAGCCUGGGAAACCGGGUCUAAUACUGGAUAUGACUCCAUGACGCAUGUUGUGGGGUGGAAAGCCUUGUGCGGCUGAGGAUGGGCCCGCGGCCUAUCGGCUUGUUGGUGGGGUGAUGGCCUACCAAGGCGACGACGGGUAGCCGGCCUGAGAGGGCGACCGGCCACACUGGGACUGAGACACGGCCCAGACUCCUACGGGAGGCAGCAGUGGGGAAUCUUGCGCAAUGGGCGAAAGCCUGACGCAGCGACGCCGCGUGAGGGAUGACGGCCUGG
rnacentral:rRNA from 1 species